rnacentral:tRNA from 1 species
GAGGUUGUGGCUCAGCGGUAGAGCGUUCGCUUAGCACAUGCAAAGCGCUGGGUUCAAUCCUCAGCACCACA